rnacentral:misc_RNA from 1 species
ACUACAGGGGUAUCUAAUCCUGUUUGCUCCCCACGCUUUCGUGCAUGAGCGUCGUGUUAUCCCAGGCUGCCUUCGCCAUCGGUGUUCCUCCGCAUAUCUACGCAUUUCACUGCUACACGCGGAAUUCCACCUCCCUCCCUGACACACUCUAGCUCGGUAGUUAAAAAUGCAGUUCCAAAGUUAAGCUCUGGGAUUUCACAUCUUUCUUUCGAACCGCCUGCGCGCUUUUACGCCAGUAGUUCCGAUUAACGCUUGCACCCUACGUACUACAAGCCUUGUACGUAGUUAGCCGGUGCUUAUUCUGCAGGUACCGUCAAUUGCACGAAAUUGUUAUCCGUGCCGUUUCUUUUCCCUGCCAAAAGUGCUUUACAACCCGAAGGCCUUCAUAACACACGCGGGAUGGCUGGAUCAGGGCUUCCCCCAUUGUCCAAAUUCCCCCACUGCUGCCUCCGUA